GUGAGAUGUUGGGUUAAGUCCCGUAACGAGCGCAACCCUUGUCCUUAGUUACCAGCACGUUAUGGUGGGCACUCUAAGGAGACUGCCCGGUGACAAACCGGAGGAAGGUCGGGGAUGACGUCAAGUCAUCAUGGCCCUUACGGCCUGGGCUACACACGUGCUACAAUGGUCGGUACAAAGGGUUGCCAAGCCGCGAGGUGGAGCUAAUCCCAUAAAACCGAUCGUAGUCCGGAUCGCAGUCUGCAACUCGACUGCGUGAAGUCGGAAUCGCUAGUAAUCGUGAAUCAGAAUGUCACGGUGAAUACGUUCCCGGGCCUU
rnacentral:rRNA from 1 species